UUUACUAAGGCCUUUAUAGAUAAAGCAUGUGGCACAGUACAGAUUUAAGCUGCUAAUUUACAAAAGGCUGUAAAUGUUUCUUUUGCCCUUUAAUGAGUCAACUGUAUUUACUCACAUGAAACGGUAAGCUGAGUAAAAUCACACUUUGACCGUGGCACCACUAGCCUACAUGAGAAGCUUUCUUCUAACAUCUUUUAUAGAUGUUUUGCACAAUAAACGGUUUAUGGCUAAAGAAAGUGAUGCUUAACAGAGGGAGGAUGAGGAUGGUUUAAAAGCACGGCCACUCCAUCCACUCAGUACAACACACUCAGAGCCUUGAGUCCAGAACCAGAGAGACAGAGACCUGUUACUCAGGUGAGAAAUGCAAUGUCUGAAUCUUCUCUUUAAAUUAUGUGUUUUUCCUCUAAGUUUAAUUGCAAAUUAGCUUUGUUUAAAAACUGCUAAGUUAGAUUAAAUGCUAUUUUAUACUGCAUGCAUUUUAUUUUAAAUGUUCAUUAUUUUUAAUUAUUUUAAAAGUUAAUUAUCAUAUUUUUUUUAACUUUAGUAUAUGGUAAUUUGCCUAGAAAAUUAUUGAAAUGCAUAAACAGUGAAAUUAGUCAUGAACAUAAUGUUUUUUUAUGUGCUCAUUCUCUAAAUGACUCAAUAUGUGUUUCAGAGAUGAAUCUUUACACUUUUGUUUUUGUGGUGGGAUGCUGUUUUGCCCUUUCAUUGGGUGCAGAAGAAGAAAGUCCAGGGAGACGGUUGAUUGUAGUUGAAAUUGAGGAGCCAAAGAAAAUUU
ensembl:lncRNA